ensembl:lncRNA novel transcript
AAGAAAUAACCAAAAAAUGGGUAACCAGUAGCCCUGGAGCUGCUCUGCCUAUGGAGUAGCCAUCCUUUUACUUCUUUGCUUUCUUAAUAAACUUGUUUUCACUUUACUCUAUGGGCUUGCCCUGAAUUCUUUCUUGCAUGAGAUCCAAGAACCCUCUCUUAGGGCCUGGAUCGGGACCCCUUUCUGAUAACACCAGGAGACACCCUGGGUGGAUUUCCUGAACCGACCGAUAGAUGAGCCUUCCACGCGGGAGACCUGGAUCCUUAUCGUCUUUGUGGCCCCUUCCAUCUGCACGUGCGGACGAGGUCCGGGUCGCACUCGGGCGGUCAGCCUGGCACGCACAGCGCCGGCGUGCAGGGGGCCUUGGGUGCCACCGAGUCCGGGAGGAAAUCUAGGCCGCCAUCCGUCCGGAGACUGGCACCUGUGACCACCACCCAACAUGUAUUGAACAAGGGCUUGGAGGUCCUUUCUCUAAGGCCGCACCGAUAAACGAUUACCGACUGUUGACCUCACGGCCCCUUCGCUUCCGGCCGCACCGCCUCGCUGCCCACGCCUGCGCACUCAGGCACCGCAGAUUCAUUUGGAUUCAAGGUUGGCUCUCAACAGUGCCAGCUGCACUGUCAUCCUAAAGUACUUCUGUGGAAGAGAACAUGGUGGUGUCACUGUUGUACCAGUGAUGACACAAAAUCCCAGAUCUACCUGACGGGCCUGCGAGGGUUGAAGAUUGUGAAGCAAUAGCCUAAGUUACCGUGAUGCUGAAUCAGCGCUGCAGCAGGGCAGGACGCUGGCUGUGCACACCACAUGAAGAGGCCCUCUCUUACGGGGCUCCCUUGAACCCAAGAAUUUGGAAACGUUAAGAAUUUUAGUUCUUGCUUCAUAUAUCCUUCCCUGGACAGCACAGGAUGGGUACAGGGGCACUGGUCUUAAAAUUUAGCGUUCCCAAGUCACGUCUUUUACGAAUACACACGCAUACCCUCUGUUGUGGAUGGUAGGCCUAGCACAGUCCAGUGAAGGACGGACCUGGUGUGUGAAGCAAGUCCCAUGCCCUAGGAUUAGGAAACCCUCACCUAACCGUGGUGUCCCUUGGUGUCUCUGCACCUUAGUCUAAUUUUCAAUCUUCCACUAGCCAGAGAUCAAGUCUUGAUGCUAUCCAGUUGAAACCUAGUCUCCCGUGAAACAUUUUCAAGGUCGGGGGGUUUCAGGAGGACACUGUGGCAGAAAAGCCAAGUCUCUGGCAAACAUGAGGUAGUUCAAUAGGCUGGGUCCUCCAUAUAGUUGCUCUUCGUGGUUAGAAAAACAACCAGAAGUAUUCCUGCUAUGCAGGCCUGGAGCUUCUGCCGACUUAUCCCUGAGGUUGCUCAGUACCUGAGAAGAGUAAAGAGUGAGGGACCGAGAUUAAAGUAGACAACAGCACAAACAACAUUAAGGGGAAUAAAAGCUAAGAUGCACGGACGUAUCGGUGACACAGCUAGUGCUGUGGGCACCCGGGAGACGGGGGACCGAGGUACGGUAUCCAAGGGAGCGAAUCAGUCCCAUCGCACUGGCCUGGAGCUGGGUGGGGUGAGUGUGGGAGCCGCAGGUCUGCAGCGGUCCCCCAGCCACACUCUCUGCCUGUCUCCGCCACCCAUUGCUUGGGACACUUCCCAGCACCCUGUCCCAAGAGUGGGCUGUGAGGAAACAAGAUGUGAGUAAAGCCUGGCCUGCCCAUGAGGAAUUUCCUCCCUCAGAAGGUAGUGGCUGUGGGUUGGGUCCGUCAUCUGGCCUCAUGCUUAAUCAUUUCACUCCAGCAUGGGAAAUAUUAUGAUUACCUGUCCUUCUUAAAAAGGAAAACAACUUCCCUGUCCAGGCCACUUUUGAAAGCUGGAGAUUCUAGGGGUAGUGCCUCAGACAAAGCAUGUAGGCUCCUGAGUGAUUUCCCCCAGCUGCCCUCGUUUGCAUUUGGAUAGAGCUUGGUUGGAGUUCCAAGGGCUGAUGCUGGGAACCUUGCUCUGGAUGCGAGGCCUGCCCCUGGAGGGAGCCGCGGAGGACUGGCAGCUGCAGAUGCUGGAGCAGGCCAGCCUGUGGCUGGGCCGUAGCUUCCUGCUGGCAGGCUUCCUGGUAUCGAGCAGCUGCCCCAGCCUGGAGCAGGCGGCCAAGGGUGAGGGCUGUUCCCCCAUCCCUUGUUUCGCCCACUGCCUCGACUCCCUGGUGAGAAACUUUCUGUGUCACCCUCACAGUGUCCAGAUCAUCCUGGGCACUGCCAGGGCCACCUGCAGCCAUUUCUAAGGCUCUGUGGAGGCCCAGGGACUCCUCACCCAGCUCCAGCGCCAGCGCAGCCUCCUAGCCCACCAGCCCUUUGAGGAGCUCUUGGACCACUGGGUCUCGGCCUACCACCUGCUGGAGUGGCUGGUGGAGCAGCAGCAGCCCCUUCAAGAGUACAAGGGCAGGCACCAGCUGGGGAAGGCUGGUGUUGCCUUGUCGGCCACAUUCUGGAGCCCGGCAGACAGCCUCAGCAAGCUCCUGUAGCCCUUCCAGAUGGUGGUCCGCGAGGCGAGUGCGGCACAGGCCUCUCUGAGCCAGGUGCUGCCCCAGCUGCGCUACCUGCACAUCUUCCUGGAGCAGGUUCACACACACUUUCAGGAGCAGAGUGUCGGGGAGAGGGGCGCAGCCAUCCAGCUGGCUGAGGGGUUGGCCCGGCAGCUCUGCACCGACUGUCAGCUCAACAAGCUCUUCUACCGCGAGGAGUUUGUGCUGGCCACCUUGCUGGACCCUUGCUUCAAGGGGAAGAUUGAGGCCAUCCUGCCAUGGGGGCCGACCGACAUUGACCACUGGAAGCAAGUCCUCGUGUACAAGGUGAAGGAGAUUAGAGUGUCUGAAUACUCUUUGAACUCCCCAAGUCCCCUGCAAAGCCCCAGGGGUCUGUGCGUGGACCCCACCAGGGUAGCCAAGAGCUCCGGGGUGGAGGGGAGAAGCCAGGGGGAGCCUCUGCAGAGCAGCAGCCACUCUGGGGCCUUCCUGCUGGCCCAGAGGGAGAAGGGCUUGCUGGAGAGCAUGGGGCUGCUGGCCUCUGAGAGAAGCGGGGGCUCGCUGUCCACCAAGAGCCACUGGGCCAGCAUCAUUGUCAAGAAGUAUCUGUGGGAGAAUGAGACCGUUGGAGCCCAGGAUGACCCCCUGGCUUACUGGGAGAAGAAGCGAGAAGCCUGGCCACCAUCUAUCUGUCUUACCCCCCACAGGAGCCUUCUCUGAAAGCAUCUUUGCCUCCCUGAACAGCCCCACCCUUGUAGAGCAAAACUCUUCUCUCAAGGUGGAAGCCAUUGAGCAUCUCCUCUUCUUGAAGGCCAACCUGGAGCAGUUCCCCAACUACACCCCGCCUCCCCUCAUCUGCUCUAGUGGUGACCUGGCCAAGGGGAUACAGACCCUGCAGUCCGCUCAGGGUGGGAUGGCAGACAUGGCAGGUGCCGGUGCUCACCCUGCCCGUGAACUCCUAGAGAGCCCCUGCCUGUAAUAGGUCAAAGCAGAGAGCUGGGUGUUGCAUCCUGGGCGCCACAUGCUCAUGGCCAGAAUCUUAAACCUAUUUGGUAGGAAAGGGUCAGUUUCUCACUUGACAGAUUGCCAUAUUUUUUUUUCUGGGAGAUGUCAUUUUCCAUCUCCCGAUUACUUCCUUUACGUCUAGCAGUAUGUGCCGAGAAGAGGCUUACUCUCUUCGUAGGUGACUGUGAAUUUUGUACUACGUGGCUUUGUACAUGUGAUGCUCUGUUAAAACAUAAGUGGGUAUGAAGGUCCUUGCAUACACCUUGUCUGUGUGGAUAAGUGGACACAUGCCCUUAAGAGGCUUGCUUUCUCAAAAAGUGGCCAAGGAUGUGGAGUGGGCAUGUGCUGGCAGGUGGGAUAUGUCCUCAGCCUUUGGGGGCCUGGAUAAGCUAUUGCAGCACUUUCUGAGGCUUUCACUGUAGGGAGAAGGAAACCCCAAGGGUAGAAUAGCCAUUUCCAGAGGGAAGUACACACAUACCCCCACACACCAGUCUUUUUGGGGGUUUCAGAGUGGCCGGAGAAACCGACUGAAGGGACUGACCAGCUAGCUAGGAGAGCUGAGACGCCAGUCCUCAAAUGGCGUUCUUACCAAUAGUCUAUUUCCAGACUACUGGAAACGUUGGGGUUUCUUCCUCCAGUGACAGCAGCCUCAGUAGCUUUCCUGGGCUCCAGGCGGCUGGCUGCACACCCUGCCUGCCAUCACCCUUGCCCCUGCUUGUCCUGGACCACUUUUAAAGGGGAAGUCCCUUAUUUGGAAGAGAGAAAGGAUGUGUGUAGCACACACUCAUCAUGGAUUGCUCAGAGUUCCUUUAGGGCAGAGCUGAGGGCCUGGGAUCCAGGAACCAGUGGGAUUGGAUGGGAGAAGAAGGAAGGGGGUGGCCCGUCACCCCCGCAAGACUUGCAUCCAGGUAGCCUAAGGACUCCUGGUCACUGGGUAGGGUGGCUGCUGAGAUGCAGGUCGGAAGAGGCAGGGGAAGGCUCCAGGCCUAACUUGGAGCAUGUCACUGGCCAUGGGGGUGAGGGGACAGACUCUGCUCUCACUGGCUGGCAGCCCCAGGAGCCUGUUCCCUUGCCUCUCCUGGAUGGGUUGUCAGCCCUGUGUUUCACUGUGACCAAUUCAUUAUAACAUUUGGAUAUUACUGAAAAUGUAAGGAAGCAGGAAAAAUUAACUACUUUCAUUCAGAGAUAGCCUCUAUCAAUAGUUUGACAUUUUUCCCUCUUUUACAUUGAGAUCAUACCCUAGGUACUGUUUAGUAUGCAAUAUUUUCAUUUUCGCAGUAUAAUAAUUGCACCUGUUAAAUAAAGUUUUGUAAACAUUUAA